GAAAAAGAUAAGCAAUUCCACUAGCUUUGGAUCCGUUCCACUGUGGAGAACACAUAAAAAGAAUGCUAUAAUUGGAGAUGGCAGGGAAGAUAAAAGAAAAAAAAUGGGAGGGGGUGUUUCCUUGGAAAGCACAGUAAAUUAAAACCAAAACUGUCCUUGAAGACCUAUUGUUUUUGCUUGCUUUUCAAUGAGGAACACAGAAAAUAUUUUUCGCUUGGGUGCAGAGAAGUAUCUCUAGUUUAGGGAGGCACACCCCAGGAUGGUGCAUCCUAAGAGGCAGUGCUUGCAGAGCUCCCCUCUUCAGCAGCUGUGAAAAGCCACACCUUGUGACAGAAUGAACUGUCAGCCCAUCCAAGGACAAGUCAUCCUUAGGGGAAACCAAGGCCACUGCACCACCCAUGCUGUAACAUCAGCCACCCACUUCUGUGAGCAUCUUGGACAGUUCCUGCUUCCUUCUGAGGCAUCAGCAUAGCGUCUCAAAAUGAAACUACACCCAGAGUAAUUUCUUGGAUUUGCUGGAAGAACUGCAGUAAGCCUGCUAAGAAUUACUACUUCGUUUGGGAGGAGCUUGAAAAAAGCUCAAAGUCCAAUUGCUCCUCAGGGCACUC
rnacentral:lncRNA from 1 species